rnacentral:rRNA from 1 species
AUACGGAGGAUCGGAGCGUUAUCCGGAUUUAUUGGGUUUAAAGGGUGCGCAGGCGGCCAUUUAAGUCAGCGGUUAAAUCGUGGGGCUCAACCCCAUUCUGCCGUUGAUACUGGGUGGCUUGAUUGCGGUCGAGGUUGGCGGAAUUCGUUGUGUAGCGGUGAAAUGCAUAGAUAUGACGAAGAACACCGAUUGCGUAGGCAGCUGACCAGACCGCAAAUGACGCUCAUGCACGAAAGUGCGGGGAUCGAACAGGAUUAGAUACCCUGGUAGUCCGCACAGUAAACGAUGAAUACUUGUUUUCGGCGAUAUAAUGUCGGAGGCAAAGCGAAAGCGAUAAGUAUUCCACCUGGGGAGUACGCCGGCAACGGUGAAACUCAAAUGAAUUGGCGGGG